UCGUACUACAGAGGUGCAAGGGCUGUCGCUGGCUCAAAAAGUCGUGCACGCUGGAGGGUGUCCUCUCACAUAACAAUCCAUCUCACCCUUUGUGCAUCACCGCGUGGGCACCCUUUGGGAUCGGACCGAUCUCAGAAGGGGGCUCACGUUUUCACACAAACCCCCCCAUCUAAAAGUGUAGAAUGUCCUCAUUUAUGCAAUAAAUA
rnacentral:misc_RNA from 1 species